GCUAGUAAUGUGCAUGCCAAUAAGCAACUGGUGAAUAGUAACAAAUGGUCCCUAAACUAAUUAUUUGUAUUAAUUAAAUGGUAUUUUACAUGAUUCGGCAUCUGUGCAGUAAGGUAAAGUAUUUCACACUUUUCUCUGGGACUGAAAAAGAGCAGAGCAGGUCGCCCAGUGUGGUGCCUCUCAUCUUUUGUGUGCUGGUUUCCCCAUGCCAGCUUUCUGCUGUCACAUUAGUGCACAUCAAAUGCACGAGCUCACAUGCAAAUGUACUCUUAGACUUUUAGCUUUUUAGCUGGCUCAGUUGCUUCCUUUGCAAACAGGAAGUACUUUUUAGUCUUUCAAACCGAUUUGCUAAGUGUCAUCAUGUUUGUCUUUCCUUUUUAAGUGUCUCUCAGGGGUGUUUUUGGAGCAAUUAUUUACACCUGCUGCAAUGGGUAAGUGGGAGCAAGAAUCCUUCAUCAUAUAAUGAACUCCUGGCAGACCCUCGCUACUGAAUAUUUCCCUCUGGCCAGUGGAAUAGCAAGCCAGAUAUACAGUAAGUAAUAUCAACCAUGUGUGAUUGUGAAGUUUGUGUGGGUAUGUGUCAGAUGAUCAGUGUGAGUGGUCAGCCUGUUACAGGUCAAAGUUCAUGGUCAUCAAUGGUUGAGGCUGACGGCUCUCCAUCUGGUGGGGACUUGGCCUCUGAGGGUUAGGGCUAAAUAGUGUAAGUGCAGAGCUUGUCUUCAAAAGUUUUUUUCUGUGUGUGACAGAUCAAGUAUGUAAAUCACAUAUUCGUGUGUGUCCUGUGCCGGGUCUAAAGGCCUCUUCAGUUUACACUAUGUUUAGACGCAAAUUUAGCCCAUGGGUGUACUGAAUGCUCUAAUCACACACAACAAUACCUGUCAAACCAUUUGACCAUUCACAAAACACUGCACUUCUCUCUCUCUUUCUCUUCCUGGCAGGUAGAUCUUUGGUGCUGCAGCUGCAUGUCAUGAAUUGAAUGAAAGCAGGCACUUGAGCAACUAUGUGUGCACCCAGUAAAAAGCACAAUGUAGGAGCAUUAGUAUGCUAAUGAGGUGCGGGGCGACAGGUGGCCCGCUAGACAGCUCAAUUAAGCAGCUCGUUAAAGGCCAAGCUAACGAAGCGGCCUGCACUGCAAGCCUCAACAAACAAUGUGACUGUGCAGGCUACAAAUUGGUUUCCUGAACACUCUCCCUGACUGCCAUUGGUUGGAAAACAUAUAGUCCUGACCCAGUGUUCCUGUAUCAGGCUGAUCAGGAUGCAGAACAAUGUUUUGAUAGCACCUCAAG